AAGGUUCCCUCAGCCUGGUUGGCAAUCAGGUGUCGAGUGCAAGUGCACAAGGGAGCUUGACUGUGAGACUGACAGGUCGAGAGGGACGAAAGUCGGAACUAGUGAUCCGGCGGUGGCUUGUGGAAGCGCCGUCGCUCAACGGAUAAAAGGUACCCCGGGGAUAACAGGCUGAUCUUGCCCAAGAGUCCAUAUCGACGGCAUGGUUUGGCACCUCGAUGUCGGCUCGUCGCAUCCUGGGGCUGGAGUAGGUCCCAAGGGUUGGGCUGUUCGCCCAUUAAAGCGGUACGCGAGCUGGGUUUAGAACGUCGUGAGACAGUUCGGUCCCUAUCCGCUGCGCGCGCAGGAAACUUGAGAAGGGCUGUCCCUAGUACGAGAGGACCGGGACGGACGAACCUCUGGUGUGCCAGUUGUUCCGCCAGGAGCAUGGCUGGUUGGCUACGUUCGGAAGGGAUAACCGCUGAAAGCAUCUAAGCGGGAAGCCUGCUUCAAGAUGAGGUUUCCACCACCCUCGUGGUGGGAAGGCCCCCAGCAGACCACUGGGUUGAUAG
rfam:Georgenia sp. STBG003 Ion020_assembly_rep_c1606, whole genome shotgun sequence.